rnacentral:lncRNA from 1 species
UUAUUAAUAAAAGGAAAAUCGGUUUUCUUUAGUUUUUGCUGAACUUUCUAAACAAUAGAGUCAUUUUUUUGAGAAAGCUUUUCUAUCUAGAAAGCUCCCUCACCUUUUUCUCUGCCUUCUCUCUUCCAUUGCUAUGCACUAAUGUUGAUAAAUUGGCAAGUGUACCAAAUCAUACAAGUAAUAUAAAUGGUAAGACCAAGUAUCGUUUUUCCCAAGAGACUCGUAUGACUUUCUCGUUCGCGUGAAUUAAAAUAAUAAGACUUGAAANAUAAAAUUUAAUAAAUUGGAUUUGAGGAUAAAAAUAUUAACAUGCAAAANUAAAGUUGAUUCAAUUGACAAACGAAAACAAUGGAUGGAUGGAUGUUGUUGGGUAGUAACAAUUUCAUCUAUUCCACUCUCUCUUACAUACUACCGUUGACUAUUAGUUGAUUGAUUCAAUUGUUAUGCGACUUUCUUAGCCUCCCCUUAACCUGAUCCCUCGGCGAAAAGGGCCUAAUAUUAACUACCAGCUUACUAUCCCUAGCCUUCCCUAGUAAUUAAUACCGCAUUAUAAACAGAAGUUAGCGCAAUUGGUCGUCCUACCCCUAUCCCUAGGUGGUAUUGCAAAAUCAAGAGAUUACUCACCAGUUCAUGUCAUUACUGUACGUCCCCAUAUCAAUAAAGACAAACAUCAAUAUACUGAAUGAGUUAAACGAUAAAGGCCUUAAGCACAGAUGAUAACCCAACAAUAAUCAAUCGAAAC